rnacentral:rRNA from 1 species
UACGUAGGGGGCUAGCGUUUUCCGGAAUUACUGGGCGUAAAGGGUGCGUAGGUGGUUUCUUAAGUCAGAGGUGAAAGGCUACGGCUCAACCGUAGUAAGCCUUUGAAACUGGGAAACUUGAGUGCAGGAGAGGAGAGUGGAAUUCCUAGUGUAGCGGUGAAAUGCGUAGAUAGUAGGAGGAACACCAGUUGCGAAGGCGGCUCUCUGGACUGUAACUGACACUGAGGCACGAAAGCGUGGGGAGCAAACAGG